UGGGGAAUAUUGGACAAUGGGCGCAAGCCUGAUCCAGCCAUGCCGCGUGAGUGAUGAAGGCCCUAGGGUUGUAAAGCUCUUUCACCGGUGAAGAUAACGACGGUAACCGGAGAAGAAGCCCCGGCCAACUUCGUGCCAGCAGCCGCGGUAAUACGAAGGGGGCUAGCGUUGUUCGGAUUUACUGGGCGUAAAGCGCACGUAGGCGGACUUUUAAGUCAGUGGUGAAAUCCCGGGGCUCAACCCCGGAACUGCCUUUGAUACUGGAAGUCUUGAGUAAGGUAGGGGGGGGUGGAAUUCCGGGUGUAGAGGUGAAAUUCGUAGAUAUUCGGAGGAAAACCAGUGGCGGAGGCGGCUCACUGGGCCAUUACUGGCGCUGAGGUGCGAAAGCGUGGGGAGCAAACAGG
rnacentral:rRNA from 1 species